GUAUCCGUAGUCUAAUUGGAUAAAACAGCGCCCUCCGACGGCGCCGUUCCGAGUUCAAAUCCCGGCGGGUACACCA
rnacentral:tRNA from 1 species